rnacentral:lncRNA from 1 species
GGAAGGAAGGAAGGAAGGAGCUAUAUAAGCAUAUAAAAAUCUUAGUUUAGGUAGAAUAUAAUUUGAUUUUUUUAUGGUGCAGGUGAGACAUCUAGUGACUAUUUUGUGUUAUUAAAAUACAAAGACCUCUUCCAAAUCAUUGAAAUGUCCUGUUGGUGAUAUAUACGUCUUUACAUCCUUUCCACAAAUCCACUGACAAAACACUUGCCAGUUCUGUGAACUAAUAAAGCAUGGUCUGGAAAACAAGGAUCAAACAUCAGUGGCUUCUGUGCGUACAGAAUCUCUUUUCUCCUUUCCCCAGAUAUCUUCAGAGGCCUUAGACUCCACAAUAAAUAUAUCCAUAAGAAUGCUAGUAAAGUCAAUCUAGGUUUGCAACACUGACACUGAGGGCACAUUUUAGUUCCUAAGUACCAAUACAAAUCUCUUCCUCAUGCUGUUUUGCUGAUGUAAAGAAUCUGCCUUGGAACAUCUGUGAAGUCAGGCAACAAGUGUUAUCUUCAACUGAAUCUUUCUUGCCAGAAACCACCUCUCUGCAGUGGAAGACUGUCCUGAAUCACAGACAUGAAUUAGGCUGUUGUGAUGGGCCAGAGCUACAAAAGAUGCCCUUUGCAAGAGAGUUCCCCAUUCCCUACAGGCAUUUCAAGGACAGUACAAGGUCAAAUGCAAACUCACCUGCAACCCUGCUAUUUCAUGAACCAAAUCUCACAGCUGUCCUAGGCAGUGAUGUGCUGUUGCAUAGCCUGAGCAAGAGCAGAUGCCACAUUCUUGCUGUGAGUGCCAAGCAGAAUUUGUGGGUUGUGCCGUGCCUGCAUCCGGACAAGGAGCAUGGCAGCACAGUGAUGUCUGUGCAUGGCAUAGAUCUGAAGACAUUUCUUCAAAAUGGCAAGUGAGGUGAUUUAUGCAGAGGUAUCACGUGAGGAAAGAAUGCGUUUUACUUCACAAAAUUCAGACGCAGGUAACAAAUGGUCAUCUUAAUAUUACUUCUUUUUCUUUGUUCCGUGACACAUUCUUAAAUCUUUCAUUCUUUCUUUGAACGGAAACAUUCAUAAGAAGCUGAAGUCUUGUUAAAAGCAUUUUUAAGAAUAUUAGUAUCUAUCUAUUACAUAUCCAUUUGCUUGGAAAUUUUUUUCUUAUUAGUAGAAGGAAAAUUGAAUUCUAGCAAAAGUAAAGACUGACCUCUAAAAUCCCACUCUGGAUUUCAAUAGUAUAGCUAAAAAGUGCUGUUUCUGAAUUGCAUUAACAAUUAGAAAUUCAAGAUAUUAAUACAAAUUAUUGAAAACUCAUUGGCAGUUACAGUGCAGUGAUGACACUGAGAUUUUCUCUCCUGUAGUGUAUAUUUUACUUUGAUUAAUUUUCUUGAUUUUAUAUUUUACUUUGAUUAAUUUUCUUAGACUCCAGAAAUAAUUUUAAAUUGUAAAACAAUAGGUCUUUCUUCCUUACUUUUAUUUCAUUCUUUCUUUCUCUCUGUCUGUCUCUGUCUUUCUUUCUCUUCUGCAAGUUAAAUGUUGAGAAAAACAGAGGUCAAUAAUCAGUAGAAGUUUCUAUAAUUUUCAAAAUUUAGUCAUGUGUACGACCUAUUGAUGUCUGCUACUAUAAAACUACAUUACUUUAAAAAUAUUUUUUUCAAGAAAUAAAGUGACAAAGAUAUCCA